CCCUGGUGGCGAGUGGCGAACGGGUGAGUGAGACAUCGGAACGGGUCCAGAAGGGGGGGAUAGCCCGGCGAAAGCCGGAUUAAUACCGCAUACGCUCUACGGAGGAAAGGGGGGGAUCUUAGGACCUCCCGCUACAGGGGCGGCCGAUGGCAGAUUAACUAGUUGGUGGGCGAAAGGCCUACCAAGGCGACGAUCUGUAGCUGGACUGAGAGGACGACCAGCCACACUGGGACUGAGACACGGACCAGACUCCUACGGGAGGCAGCAGUGGGGAAUUUGGGACAAUGGGGGCAACCCUGAUCCAGCAAUGCCGCGUGUGUGAAGAAGGCCUUCGGGUUGUAAAGCACUUUUGUCCGGAAAGAAAACGCCGUGGUUAAUACCCGUGGCGGAUGACGGUACCGGAAGAAUAAGCACCGGCUAACUACGUGCCAGCAGCCGCGGUAAUACGUAGGGUGCAAGCGUUAAUCGGAAUUACUGGGCGUAAAGCGUGCGCAGGCGGUCCGCUAAGACAGAUGUGAAAUCCCCGGGCUUAACCUGGGAACUGCAUUUGUGACUGGCGGGCUAGAGUAUGGCAGAGGGGGGUAGAAUUCCACGUGUAGCAGUGAAAUGCGUAGAGAUGUGGAGGAAUACCGAUGGCGAAGGCAGCCCCCUGGGCCAAUACUGACGCUCAUGCACGAAAGCGUGGGGAGCAAACAGGAUUAGAUACCCUGGUAG
rnacentral:rRNA from 1 species